rnacentral:rRNA from 1 species
GACGAACGCUGGCGGCGUGCUUAACACAUGCCAGUCGAACGGAAAGGCCUCUUUCGGGGGGUACUCGCGUGGCGAACGGGUGAGUAACACGUGAGUAACCUGCCCUUGACUUUGGGAUAACUUCAGGAAACUGGGGCUAAUACCGGAUAGGAGCUCCUGCUGCAUGGUGGGGUUGGAAAGUUUCGGCGGUUGGGGAUGGACUCGCGGCUGAUCAGCUUGUUGGUGGGGUAGUGGCUUACCAAGGCUUUGGCGGGUAGCCGGCCUGGGAGGGUGACCGGCCACAGUGGGACUGAGAGACGGCCCAGACGCCUACGGGAGGGAGGAGGGGGGAAUAUUGCACAAGGGGUGGAAGCCUGAUGCAGCAACGCCGUGGUCGGGAGGACGGGCUUCGGGUUGGAAACCGAUUUCGCUCAUGACGAAGCUUUGUGUGACGGUAGUGGGUAAAGAAGCACCGGCUAACUACGUG